GCUGGGUGUAGUGGCGCACACCUGUAGUCCCAACUACUCAGGGGCCUGAGACAGGAGGAUCACUUGAGCCCAGGAGGUCAAGGGUGCAGUGAGCUAUGAUCAUGCCAUUGCAUUCCAGCCUGGGUGACAAAGUGAGACCCUGUCUCUA
ensembl:misc_RNA Metazoa_SRP Metazoan signal recognition particle RNA